CUCAAAAAUGAGAUCCUCCUACUCGGCCUCCACAGCAGCUGGGAUUACAGGCACAUGGUGUCAUUCCUGGCUAUUGUUAUUUUUAAAAUUUGUUGCUGGCCUGCGCAAGUGCAAGGACCUGAGUUCGAUCCUCAGUACCAAAAAAAAAAAAAAAAAAUUUCUUGCUGGGGCCUCGUGCAUGCUCUGCCACUGAGCUAUGUCCCAGCCAAAGUGUUACCUUUGGAGGGGAAGGAGGAGCUUGAACCUACAGAAGGCCCUGCAGACGGCUGCUAGAACAUCAGCAGUCCCCUAUUCUCAUCCUGGGUGGCGAGUAUACAGGCGAUAUUUUCCCAUAGUUCUUCAAAUGGUAUUUAUGUUCUGUGUAUCUUUCUGAAUGUGUGUUUUAUUCAACUAAACUAUGUGAUAUUGCCACUAUUCAAUCCUGUUAAUCUACAAAAUAGUGAUUUAUAUGAUUCAACUUGAUGUUCCACAAUAAAAAAAAAUAAUUUACAUCAAGUUGAGAAACCAUUCAACAUGAUGGUUGUGAGGGCUAUCAAAAGCUUCAUUCUCCAGUUAUUCAUUAUUCAUUCACUAUUCAUUCAUGUUUCCGGGGAGGUUAUUCUGAAGCAGGCAGAUUUCUAGGCACUGGGAUACAGUGGGAAUUCUGUCCUGGGGCUUGCCAUCACACGGGAAAAGUGAUCAAACCACAAACACGGAACCAUCUAGCAUGUCAUAUUGUGAUAUGUGGAAAGCAAAACAAGUAGAGGAAGGGAACAGGGAGGAGGAGACAUUUUAGGAAGGGGAGUCAGAAAAACCAGGAGGAGGUGGCGCCUGAAAACACCACGGGAUGGAGGGCGAGAGGGAACGGCUGCAGUGUCGGGGAGCUCAGCAGAGGCCCCGGGGACAGGCCCGGCUGGACUGAGGGCCAAGGAGCCUGGUGUUGCUGAAACACAGCGAGGGAAGGAGAGGAUGGGAGACUUGAGAAGGGAGGAGGCAGCAGGGACAGUCAGACGUAAGACUGCACGGAGGGGGCCGGGGAUUUAGCUCAGUGGUUUCGCUGCCUGCUGCGCAAGCUCAUGGACCCAAGUUCCAUCCGCGGUACCCCCCCCCCAAAAAAAAAAAAAGACUGCACGGAGGAGGACUUGGGAUUUCUCCCGAGAGUCUCAGGGCUUGGCGGGAGGGCAGAGAGCAGGAGCCAGCGACUGGAUGUGAGGUUUAGAACCAAGUAUCUGGCUGUUCCGGGGCGGGGUGGGGGUAAGUAGAGGCCGGGAUUCCCUAAAAUGCUCCCACCCCGUCCAGGACGGCACAGACAGAGAGGGCAGUAAUGGCGUGGCACAAAGCGCUUUGGUGUCAAGAUCAAUAGAUUUUAGAUUUUGUAGGCAGAACGCAGAUAGGAUUUGUUUUUUCUUUUCUUUUCUUUUCUUUUUUUUUUUUGGUGCCAGGGUUCGAACUUGAGACCUUCUGCUUGCGCGGCAGGCACCAGAACCACUGACAUAAAUCCCUGGCCCCAGAUAGGAUUUGUUGACGGACUGCAUGUAAGCUAAGAGGAAGAGGAGUCAAUAAUGUGUACAAUACUAAAAAAAAUAGAAGACAACCGUGUACAAGCAUUCUGCUCACCCGUGUGUGGUGCUCUAGCUGCCACUGGACCACGGUGAAAGAAGAUGAGGUGGGAAUCCCUUGGAGGAAAAAGAACUCUCACCGUCAAAGGAAAUUCUGCAAGGAGCUUUACACUCUCAGAGCCAAGGAGGGAUGUAAACGCUCACACCAGACCUGGGAAACACCUCAUCUGCAACUCCCUGGCACAGUGAGCUUGCUCAGCUGGUCUCAGGGGAGCCUACCAGGGCUGUGGGCUUGGAGUCUUAGGAGCUGGGUUCCCUCCUCCAGUCACCUCGCCAGUCUGUGUGUGUUGGUUUUUGUUUUGGUACCGGGGAUUGAACUCAGGACCUUGCGCUUGCGAGGCAGGCGCCGGAACCACUGAGCUAAAUCCCCGGCCCUACCUUGCUAAUCUGAAGCUUGGGAUCCUCCUUGCAAGUGGGGAUAUCAGUAUUUUCCCCUUUCCAGGAUUGAUGCGACAGCCAAGUGAGCAAUGGAUGGAAUGAUAGUUUAUUAGCCGUUAGUCACUCU
rnacentral:lncRNA from 1 species